UACAGAGGUCCCAAGCGUUGUUCGGAGUCACUGGGCGUAAAGGGUGCGUAGGCGGUCGGGUAAGUCUGAUGUGAAAUCUCACAGCUUAACUGUGAAACUGCAUUGGAUACUAUCCGGCUCGAGGAAUGGAGGGGAGACUGGAAUACUUGGUGUAGCAGUGAAAUGCGUAGAUAUCAAGUGGAACACCAGUGGCGUAGGCGAGUCUCUGGACAUUUCCUGACGCUGAGGCACGAAAGCCAGGGGAGCAAACGGG
rnacentral:rRNA from 1 species